AGCAGUAGCCGCGGUAAUACGGAGGGGGCUAGCGCUGUUCGGAAUUACUGGGCGUAAAGCGUACGUAGGCGGCUUGGUAAGUUAGAGGUGAAAGCCCGGAGCUCAACUCCGGAAUUGCCUUUAAGACUGCCGAGCUAGUAGGUGAGAGAGGUAAGUGGAAUUCCGAGUGUAGAGGUGAAAUUCGUAGAUAUUCGGAAGAACACCAGUGGCGAAGGCGGCUUACUGGCUCAUUCUAGACGCUGAGGUGCGAAAGCGUGGGGAGCAAACAGGAUUAGAGACCCCCGUAGUCCCUGUCUCUUAUAC
rnacentral:rRNA from 1 species